rnacentral:rRNA from 1 species
GUGAAAUUCCAAUCGAGCCCGGAGAUAGCUGGUUCUCCCCGAAAUAGCUUUAGGGCUAGCCUCAAGGUGAGAGAUACGGAGGUAGAGCACUGAAUGUCCUAGGGGGUAUUGCACCUACCGAAGACUAUCAAACUCCGAAUGCCGUCAUCUUAUACUUGGGAGUCAGACUGUGGGUGAUAAGAUUCAUAGUCGAAAGGGCAACAGCCCAGAUCGUCAGCUAAGGUCCCUAAAUGUAAGUUAAGUGGUAAAGGAUGU